rnacentral:rRNA from 1 species
UACGUAGGGAGCAAGCGUUAUCCGGAUUUACUGGGUGUAAAGGGCGCGCAGGCGGGCCGGCAAGUUGGAAGUGAAAUCUAUGGGCUUAACCCAUAAACUGCUUUCAAAACUGUUGGUCUUGAGUAAUGGAGAGGCAGGCGGAAUUCCGUGUGUAGCGGUGAAAUGCGUAGAUAUACGGAGGAACACCAGUGGCGAAGGCGGCCUGCUGGACAUUAACUGACGCUGAGGCGCGAAAGCGUGGGGAGCAAACAGG